rnacentral:other from 1 species
UCGACUCUGCGGUGUGCGUGCAUCGUGGCGUGGUCGUGAGCCGAUAAAUCAUAUGAGUCGGGAACCGCCUUGAGUGGUUCCCACCUGCUAAUGCAGGUUCAGGGCUCCGCCACACACGGCAUUGCGGGGUCGGC